UGGGGAAUAUUGCACAAUGGGCGCAAGCCUGAUGCAGCAACGCCGCGUGCGGGAUGACGGCCUUCGGGUUGUAAACCGCUUUUAGUAGGGAAGAAGCCUUCGGGUGACGGUACCUGCAGAAAAAGGACCGGCUAACUACGUGCCAGCAGCCGCGGUAAUACGUAGGGUCCGAGCGUUGUCCGGAAUUAUUGGGCGUAAAGAGCUCGUAGGCGGUUUGUCGCGUCUGCUGUGAAAUCCCGGGGCUCAACUCCGGGCCUGCAGUGGGUACGGGCAGACUUGAGUGGUGUAGGGGAGACUGGAAUUCCUGGUGUAGCGGUGGAAUGCGCAGAUAUCAGGAGGAACACCGAUGGCGAAGGCAGGUCUCUGGGCACUUACUGACGCUGAGGAGCGAAAGCGUGGGGAGCGAACAGG
rnacentral:rRNA from 1 species